ACUCCGACGAACACGGACGAACUCGGACGUGUGCGGCGUUGCUCCGCGGUGCUCGAGGCUGCUGCGUGUGCGAGGCGUUGGCGCUGUGCGAAUCGGGAUCAAGGGCUUCUGAUCCUAUAUACUCGUGAUUGGGAAAAGGAGUCCGUGGUCGAUCUCCUUUCCUGGGCAGAAAACGACUCGGGGUAGAGAAGGCACUGGGCGUGGGACUCGC
rnacentral:lncRNA from 1 species